rnacentral:lncRNA from 1 species
AUGCGCCGAUGUGUCAUACGUGAGAAAGCAACACAUGUCUUGGAAACAUUUUGUCUCCGUCUUCCACGCGUCCUUACCCGCAAGGAGCCGCGAGUAGCUGUGUGUUUGGGUUCAGUAAGGAACGUUCUGUUCGGUGGUUCAGUGGCAUCACUAAAGCAAGCUGACUGUGGACUUGCCUGUUGUGGACCUCCUGUCCCGUCCAUUAAGCUAACAGCUGACCACAGAACAGCAGGAAACCAGCUGGUACCAACUAGACUGCUUUUAAAAACUUUUCACCAAAACUGUGAGCCUUGCUUAAGUCCAAAAAAGAGUGUCAACGGGCACGGCCUACCUGACCAGGAAAGUCUCUUUUCUCCAUAAUAUCCCAAGUCACAUGUGAAGGAUUCUUGCAAAGACUACAAUUGGAGUGGCACCAUCGAACCCUCGCUGAGCUGGCUUGAGAGGUUGAAAAAGCCCACAUACGUGUUUGUUGAAAUCUAAUCAUCUGGCCAAAGGAAAACAUGUCCGCAGAGGAUUGUGGGAUUGCCGUGGGGUGUGAAAGAGAACCUCUGUCUAUAGGCAGGGAUAUCUUGGGUUGGGCACUUUCAGGCUUCUGAAAAGUUGGUUGCCCAAGUAUCCACCCCCGACAGGUACCCCGAGUUCGGUCUGCAGAUCUACCAGUGUCAGCUGUGAUUGCAAAAGUCUGUAUGAUUAUUUUACUUGAGUUUGUUGGACAUUUUUGGAGCAAUGGGAAUUUAUUUCAGAUCAUGCUAAGCUAUUUAAAUGUGCUACCUUAGUGCAUGUGAAGCCCUAGGAUGUUGGGAAGUCACCAUGAUAGCCUGCAGAUAAGGCUAUGCUUUCUUUGCCACGGAUUCAGACAUAAGUAACACGGUGUAGCUUCAAGAACCUCAACGAAAGCUUUAUAUCAGAAAUAUUCAAUUCAGUUCAAUUCAAUUUAUUUUUAUAGAGCACACAGUGACACAGAGUGCUUGAACACAGGCAUAGAGCAAAGAAAUAAAUACAUCAGACAAGGAAACA